CCUAUUUUUGGGUGGUUCUUGAUUUUUUGGAAAAUAAAUUGUUUCAGUUUCCUUAAUUAUGUUGUUCUUUUUGCUUAUUAUUUCCCCUAGGGAGCUGGAUGUGCUUUCUCUGCUGGUGGGGAUCUAAAGAUGUUCUAUGAUGGGAGGUCAGAUGAUUCCUGUCUCGAAGUUGUGUAUAGAAUGUAUUAGCUAUGUUAUCACAUUCACACAUAUAGGAAAACCCAGGUAGUGCUUGUUCAUGGACUUGUCAUGGGUGGAGGUGCAUCACUGACUGCUCCAUUAAAAUUCUCGGCUGUCUCUGAGA